rnacentral:rRNA from 1 species
UACGUAGGGUGCGAGCGUUAAUCGGAAUUACUGGGCGUAAAGCGUGCGCAGGCGGUUCGUUAAGUUCGUUGUGAAAGCCCCGGGCUCAACCUGGGAACUGCAAUGGAAACUGGCGGGCUUGAGUGUGGCAGAGGGGGGUGGAAUUCCGCGUGUAGCAGUGAAAUGCGUAGAGAUGCGGAGGAACACCGAUGGCGAAGGCAGCCCCCUGGGCCGUACCUGACGCUGAGGCGCGAAGGCUAGGGGAGCGAACGGG